GCAGGGUGGCCACCCAGUAACCAGCACAAGUUAGAAUGUGGGCAACUCGGCAGUCAACUCGGCCCUUUCAACUUUCGAUGGUACUUUCUGUGCCUACCAUGGUGACCAUGGGUAACGGGGAAUCAGGGUUCGAUUCCGGAGUGGAAGCCUGAGAAAUGGCUACCACAUCCAAGGAAGGCAGCAGGCGUGCAAAUUACCACUCCCGACGCGGGGAGGUAGUGAC